AACGUAGGUGGCAAGCGUUAUCCGGAUUUACUGGGCGUAAAGCGUGUGCAGGCGGGGGGACAAGUGGGGUAUGAAAUUUCCCAGCUUAACUGGGAAGGGUUAUGCCAGACUGUACUUCUGGAGUGCGAGAGAGGGGCGUGGAAUUCCGGGUGUAGUGGUGAAAUGCGUAGAGAUCCGGAGGAACCCCAGUGGCGAAGGCGACGUGCUGGGUUGCGACUGACGCUGAGAUGCGAAAGUGUGGGGAGCAAACGGG
rnacentral:rRNA from 1 species